rnacentral:lncRNA from 1 species
UUCACCAUCAAAAGACAUCCUUACUGUAAGGAUUUGUGGUAUUUUUUCUCCCAGAGGGGGGUUUCUGUUAGGAAAUGUGUCCUAAAGCUAAUCGUUUGGAUGAUUGUACUCUUUAUAAUUUAUAUAUAAAUUAUGAAUGAAUAAAAAUUAUUUUGACAUUUUCAUCACAAGGUGUACAUCUUCCUUAUUAGAACUUUUGUAUUGUGAUGAAGUCCUUAGAACC